AUUGAACGCUGGCGGCAUGCCUAACACAUGCAAGUCGAACGAGUGGCGGACGGGUGAGUAAUGUCUGGGAAACUGCCUGAUGGAGGGGGAUAACUACUGGAAACGGUAGCUAAUACCGCAUACCAUCGGAUGUGCCCAGAUGGGAUUAGCUAGUGGGUGGGGUAACGGCUCACCGAGGCGACGAUCCCUAGCCGGUCGGAGAGGAUGACGAGCAACCGGGGAACGGCGACAGGGUCCAGACCCCUACGGGAGGCAGCAGUGGGGAAUAUUGGACAAGGGGCGCAAGCCUGAUGCAGCCAUGCCGGGUGUAUGAAGAAGGCCUUCGGGUUGUAAAGUACUUUCAGCGGGGAGGCGUUACCCGCAGAAGAAGCACCGGCUAACUCCGUGCCAGCCGCCGCGGUAAUAC
rnacentral:rRNA from 1 species